rnacentral:rRNA from 1 species
UACGUAGGGACCGAGCGUUGUCCGGAAUCAUUGGGCGUAAAGAGCGUGUAGGCGGCCUUUUAAGUCCUGCGUGAAAUCCUGCGGCUCAACCGCAGACGGUCGUGGGAAACUGGAAGGCUAGAGUGCGGGAGAGGAGAGUGGAAUUCCCGGUGUAGCGGUGAAAUGCGCAGAUAUCGGGAGGAACACCGGUGGCGAAGGCGGUUCUCUGGGCCUGACCUGACGCUGAGGAGCGAAAGCGUGGGGAGCGAACAGG